GUUACUGUUUGCUCUCUUCAUGGUGUCUGGCCUGAUUCUUCUCCUUGCUCCUCUCAUUUGUGUCCUUUUGAUUUUUGGGAUUUUUUUGGAUGUAGUUUUCUUGGAUCAUCUUCUUUUUUUGGAGGUAUUUUCCUUGGAUUAUCAGUCUCAUUAGUUCCUCUUACAACCCAGCCUGAUUUCAUCUCAGCUAAGGAGGGAGGACAGUGAUAGGACAGUCAACGGAAAGAGAAAGUGUGUUGUCAUGAGCUCCAUGCUGGAGUCCAGGGGUCCAGGGAUCAGCAUCCCACUUCAUAUCGGACAUCCUGGGAGGAGGAAGGCGACACAAGGAUGGCAAGUGGGGCAGCAGAAAAGAGCACAGCAACAAACCCAACGAUGCAACCAGAGGCAUAAAGAACUAUGUUUAGUUCAAGAAGAACGAGGAUUCCUGCAACAGAUGGUCUGGCCCACACAGAGACCUGAUCUCAGCAACAUGGAGUCCGUCUGGGAUUGUACGAAGAAACAGAAAACGCUGAGACAGUAGGUCAGGUACAGCCAGCGUGUACGAGGAUUCAUCUCCAGGCUCUGCUCCUGUCUAUUGGAGACAUUACGAGAAACAGAAGAAGGAAAGUAAUGAAGAUGAAUAUGUGCAUAAAUUAUUCUGCCUUAUGUGCACCUUUUAAUGAAUAGAAAAAUAAAG